rnacentral:lncRNA from 1 species
AGCAGGUCUGCAACAGGUAUUGAAUCUCUUCAGCCAUCAGCCUCUCUGUGAUUUCUCACUGCUCCCCAGUCUCUUGUCUCCUAGUGCACUCCUGCCCCAUUGUACUCCCUGCCCAUGCAAGGCAGCUUUUCCUUCUAAGGCAAAAUGUGGCUGCUCCUGAUAGCUGUGUCUCCUUUUCCUUUGUUCUUUUCAUUUUUCCUUCUUUUCCUUGGAUCUGCAUUUCUAGCUAUUUUCUUGGAGCAGCUAUUUCUAGCUAUCCAGGAACAAAGAUGUCUUUGCUGUUGCUGCAAAACAUCAUUAGAAUCUCAAACAUGCUGCUAAUGACUCCCUGCCGAUGGUUUAAACCUCCAUUUCAUUGACUGGAACACUUUUUAAUAAAGCUGAGGUUAUCUCUCGAGCUCUGUGAAUAUCUCUGUUGCUAUCCUGAUCUCAAGAUCUGGGUAAGAUGAGCAGCACAGGCAUGGCUGAGAUUUCAUGUCACACCACUUGUUGAUGAGAUUUGUUUUCCUUUAUUUAGACAGAGAUCAUCAUAGUUGCUGCAGUCCCUUAGCUUGUACCUUCUGAGAGUUAAGGAUUCUCAGGCUCUUUCUGAUUUCCUCCACCCAGCUGGCUGUGGCAGGGAUUCCUCCCUUCCAGAGGAGCUCUCUCACUGCCCCUUCUCUCUGUGUUUUGGCAGAUGUUCUGUGAUGCCACUGACACAUGGAUCCUACCCUGGCAGAGUGGAUGUCACCGAAUCACAGACUAUUCCAAGCUGGAAAGGACCCACAAGGAUCAUCAAGUCUGGCUCUUAAGUGAAUGGCCUGUACAGGGACUCACAACCCUGGCAUUUUUAGCACCAGGCUCUAAAGCACUGCUCUGAUCUCAAGGGAGCAGAGGUGUGAGUCCCAGUGUGCUGCCCAGCCAUGGAUCAGGCCCCCGAGCUGCAGGCCCCCAAAAAGAAAGAUGCUUUUGGGCCUCCUCUUUGCACUUCUGCUGUCAGUGCUGGCGGGGGAGGCAGGAGCCUUCCCAGAGGAGGAGGAGCGUCAGGCAAAGAGCUGGCAUCAUUCAGCAUUGGGGUGGCCUGCCUUUGAACUGGUGACUUAGCCCUGAAAGGCCAGCUCUGUUAAUUGCUGAUCUUGAUAACAGCCAUGUGAAUGCUGUUAUCCAGUCCACCCGUGCACUUUCCAGCCAUUGUGCGGCGGCGCUGCCUCAUUUCUUGGCUUGGCCAUACCUGCUCUUUUCGUAGGAGCCAAAGCAAAAUAGCCUCUGAUCUCGCUGCCCAUUUCCUUGCCUAGCUGGGCAUGAAAUCACAGGUCUGCAUUGCUGCCAGGAGCAUCCAGCUUCCUUUCGUGGGUUUAUUCCAACUACUGUUUUGCUAACUGAAAGACUUCCAAAUUCAGCAUCCCAGCCUACUUACUGGGUUUCCCAAAGCCACGUAAACUUUUCUGCCUGCUUCCCUGCAGCCCUGGAAUGGUUUCCACAAGCAUAGGUUCUUCUGCCCUCUUUUUUUUCAUGUCAAACCAGUUACCUUGCCAUUAACAGGAGCUGCUUGCUCUCUAACCAGGAGUCUGGGCUUGAAACCAGGGAGUCAAGUGCCUUUACUGGGAAGUAAAAUCCAUAAUUGCACAGAUGUUAAAAAUCAUGGACGAAAACUUGGUUUCUUGGCAUAAUUUUAGUAUUUGCUGAUGACUUCCAGUUCUAUUAGUUCAUCUAAUAAAAAGGAUUACCUCUACUCCCUUCCCA